UACGUAGGAUCCGAGCGUUGUCCGGAUUUACUGGGUGUAAAGGGUGCGCAGGCGGACUGGUAAGUCAGUGGUGAAAUCUCGUCGCUUAACGACGAAACUGCCUUUGAUACUAUCAGUCUUGAAUCCGGUAGAGAUCUGUGGAAUUCCGAGUGUAGCAGUGAAAUGUGUAGAUAUUCGGAAGAGCACCAGUGGCGAAGGCAGCAGAUUGGGCCGGUAUUGACGCUCAGGCACGAAAGCAUGGGGAUCAAACAGG
rnacentral:rRNA from 1 species